UUGAACGCUGGCGGCAGGCCUAACACAUGCAAGUCGAACGGUAACAGAAAGAAGCUUGCUUCUUUGCUGACGAGUGGCGGACGGGUGAGUAAUGUCUGGGAAACUGCCUGAUGGAGGGGGAUAACUACUGGAAACGGUAGCUAAUACCGCAUAACGUCGCAAGACCAAAGAGGGGGACCUUCGGGCCUCUUGCCAUCGGAUGUGCCCAGAUGGGAUUAGCUUGUUGGUGGGGUAACGGCUCACCAAGGCGACGAUCCCUAGCUGGUCUGAGAGGAUGACCAGCCACACUGGAACUGAGACACGGUCCAGACUCCUACGGGAGGCAGCAGUGGGGAAUAUUGCACAAUGGGCGCAAGCCUGAUGCAGCCAUGCCGCGUGUAUGAAGAAGGCCUUCGGGUUGUAAAGUACUUUCAGCGGGGAGGAAGGGAGUAAAGUUAAUACCUUUGCUCAUUGACGUUACCCGCAGAAGAAGCACCGGCUAACUCCGUGCCAGCAGCCGCGGUGAUACGGAGGGUGCAAGCGUUAAUCGGAAUUACUGGGCGUAAAGCGCACGCAGGCGGUUUGUUAAGUCAGAUGUGAAAUCCCCGGGCUCAACCUGGGAACUGCAUCUGAUACUGGCAAGCUUGAGUCUCGUAGAGGGGGGUAGAAUUCCAGGUGUAGCGGUGAAAUGCGUAGAGAUCUGGAGGAAUACCGGUGGCGAAGGCGGCCCCCUGGACGAAGACUGACGCUCAGGUGCGAAAGCGUGGGGAGCAAACAGGAUUAGAUACCCUGGUAGUCCACGCCGUAAACGAUGUCGACUUGGAGGUUGUGCCCUUGAGGCGUGGCUUCCGGAGCUAACGCGUUAAGUCGACCGCCUGGGGAGUACGGCCGCAAGGUUAAAACUCAAAUGAAUUGACGGGGGCCCGCACAAGCGGUGGAGCAUGUGGUUUAAUUCGAUGCAACGCGAAGAACCUUACCUGGUCUUGACAUCCACAGAACUUUCCAGAGAUGGAUUGGUGCCUUCGGGAACUGUGAGACAGGUGCUGCAUGGCUGUCGUCAGCUCGUGUUGUGAAAUGUUGGGUUAAGUCCCGCAACGAGCGCAACCCUUAUCCUUUGUUGCCAGCGGUCCGGCCGGGAACUCAAAGGAGACUGCCAGUGAUAAACUGGAGGAAGGUGGGGAUGACGUCAAGUCAUCAUGGCCCUUACGACCAGGGCUACACACGUGCUACAAUGGCGCAUACAAAGAGAAGCGACCUCGCGAGAGCAAGCGGACCUCAUAAAGUGCGUCGUAGUCCGGAUUGGAGUCUGCAACUCGACUCCAUGAAGUCGGAAUCGCUAGUAAUCGUGGAUCAGAAUGCCACGGUGAAUACGUUCCCGGGCCUUGUACACACCGCCCGUCACACCAUGGGAGUGGGUUGCAAAAGAAGUAGGUAGCUUAACCUUCGGGAGGGCGCUUACCACUUUGUGAUUCAUGACUGGGGUG
rnacentral:rRNA from 1 species